rnacentral:rRNA from 1 species
UGGGGAAUAUUGCACAAUGGGGGAAACCCUGAUGCAGCGACGCCGCGUGAAGGAAGAAGUAUUUCGGUAUGUAAACUUCUAUCAGCAGGGAAGAAGGAAGUGACGGUACCUGACUAAGAAGCCCCGGCUAACUACGUGCCAGCAGCCGCGGUAAUACGUAGGGGGCAAGCGUUAUCCGGAUUUACUGGGUGUAAAGGGAGCGUAGGCGGCUGAGCAAGUCAGAAGUGAAAGCCCGCGGCUUAACUGCGGGACUGCUUUUGAAACUGCCCAGCUUGAUUGCCGGAGAGGUAAGUGGAAUUCCUAGUGUAGCGGUGAAAUGCGUAGAUAUUAGGAGGAACACCAGUGGCGAAGGCGGCUUACUGGACGGUCAAUGACGCUGAGGCUCGAAAGCGUGGGGAGCAAACA